AUUGAACGCUGGCGGCAGGCUUAACACAUGCAAGUCGAGCGGGGUGAUGGUGCUUGCACUAUCACUUAGCGGCGGACGGGUGAGUAAUGCUAGGAAUCUGCCUAUUAGUGAGGGACAACAUCUCGAAAGGGAUGCUAAUACCGCAUACGUCCUACGGGAGAAAGCAGGGGAUCACUUGUGACCUUGCGCUAAUAGAUGAGCCUAAGUCGGAUUAGCUAGUUGGUGGGGUAAAGGCCUACCAAGGCGACGAUCUGUAGCGGGUCUGAGAGGAUGAUCCGCCACACUGGGACUGGGACACGGCCCAGACUCCUACGGGAGGCAGCAGUGGGGAAUAUUGGACAAUGGGGGGAACCCUGAUCCAGCCAUGCCGCGUGUGUGAAGAAGGCCUUAUGGUUGUAAAGCACUUUAAGCGAGGAGGAGGCUCUUUUGGUUAAUACCCAAGAUGAGUGGACGUUACUCGCAGAAUAAGCACCGGCUAACUCUGUGCCAGCAGCCGCGGUAA
rnacentral:rRNA from 1 species